GAUAGAAACUGGAAAAGGUAGAAAAGCUAAAGCGCGAAUAAACCCCUUCCCCUAAUUCGUAAACCUGAAAUUUCCAGAUCAAUCAUUUGGAACAGUUGAGCAAUGGCGCCUGUUCUUUCAAGGUUUCAAUUUGAGAUCUAUGAUCAAAUUGGGCCUGGUAUAAGCUGUUAUAAUGCCGAAGUGAAGUUUGAUAGAGAAGGGCAGCCUGUGCAGACGUUUGUUAGUAAUUCAUCACAUUAUACACUUGCUAGUGCAAUACCGUAUGAAGACUUUCAAACGGCAGCCGGAUUUUACAUGAUCAUGAAGGAAAUUGUGAUUCAUCUUGGGGGUCGAUAUAUUUAAAUAGUUCAAAGUUUUUUUUCCUUCUUAUAAAUGGUUACAUGAGUUUAUGAUUUUUCAGUCAAAUCCUUAGCGGCCUCAAGCAGAUUCAUAAGUGGUGGUUUCGUCAUGGGAAUCUGGAGAAGGGAGUCUUGUUCAGUGAGGAUGGAAACAUCUGACUUUUUGAUUUCAAUCACAAUACAACAGCCGAUGAAAAUUCCAUGAAAACUGAUUUCGAUGCAUUCUCAUCCAUCAUUUAGUCUGCUAUUAGCAGAACUGGAUUGACUGAAGAGAGGUGGCCCCCUCACAUUAAAGUUUUUUUCCAAUUGUUGGGCAAUACUUGACCAGGUGACCAUGCCAGCAAUACAGUGCUUCUAGCCUAUGUGGACCGAUUCUACGAUUCACCUCUUUUCUGGCGCAAUACAAAAAAAGGAAUUUUCAUCGAUGAGCUUGCAAGAGUGCUGAAGAGAAGUCCUAGUGCAGUUACCCGACAUUUCCAGUUGGAUUUUUCUAAGCAAUGGGGAAAUAUUGAAUACAACUCUGAAUUCUACCAAUGCUUCACCUUUAAAUAUGAAGACUAUGGCUGUUCAAAUGCAUAUAAGAAGCCCUAUAGGAUUGUCAAGGCACAAUAUGCUUUUGGUCAGGAUGUGGUUUUUGACUUGGAAAGAGAGUUUCUGCAGCUUAUUGCUAACACAUAUAAUGCUUGCGUUGCUGGUAAGUUCAAGGAUCAACCAAUCAGUUAUCACCAAAUUGAUUCGCCGAAACCUGAUUCAAUCUGGUAAGAUUCUAAAAUUAGUAACCUUACUUGUCUUAACUUUAACCUUACGUACAAGGAUCAACCUAGCUUGCUGGAAGAAUAUUUUUUCCAGCUUCGUACCUUGUCUAUAACGUUCAUCAGCUCUCCAUUUUUCUCUCCAAGAUUAAAUCAAUCUGAGUUCAAAAAGCUCAGCUUG